rnacentral:tRNA from 1 species
CCCCGGCUGGCGGAACGGGUAGACGCACCCCACUUAAAAGGUGGCGGGCUCAUGGCCUGUGCCGGUUCGACUCCGGCGUCGGGGACCA